GGCGGUUUUGUUUAUGUGUCUGUAAUCAAGAAAUAUUUUUUUUAAAGACCAGAUUAUAAGCAGACAGUUAGUAAAUGUAUUCCAACAAUUCAUGUAUUAAACAUCGUGUAAUACAUUUAGAUUCUUACGUUGAUACUAGUGAAAAGGUCCGAAAAAUACAAAUUGAAAAGACAAAUGAUUAAUGAAAAGAUUAGAUUUACGUUUAACAGCUGGACGCGAAUAACCCCUGCACUUCUCUUAUACAACAGUAAACCCUUGCUAAAGUGAGGCAUCCGUUCGG
rnacentral:lncRNA from 1 species